rnacentral:rRNA from 1 species
GACGAACGCUGGCGGCGUGCCUAAUACAUGCAAGUCGAACGCAGUGGGGACGGGUGAGUAACACGUGGGUAACCUCCCAUCAGAGGGGAUAACACUUGGAAACAGGUGCUAAACCGAUACUGAUGGAUGGACCCGCCGUGCAUUAUCUAGUUGGUGAGGUAACGGCUCACCAAGGCCACGAUGCAUAGCCGACAUGGGAGGGUGAGCGCCCACACGGGAACGGAGAAGAGGCCCAGACUCCUACGGGAGGCAGGAGUAGGGAAUCGUCGGCGAUGGAGGGAAGUCUGACAGAGCAACGCCGCGUGAGUGAAGAAGGUUUUCGGGUCGUAAAACUCUGUGGUGAAAAAGACGGUAUCUAACCGGAAAGCCGCGGCUAAAUACGUGCCAGCAGCCGCGGUAAUAC